GUGGGAGGUUACGGACCCCGGCAGGAGCGCCCACCGAAAUCCUGUCCCCAGCUGAAGCAACACGACCCGCAUCAGUUUACUUUCCAGUUUGCCUAAUUUCUAGAGGUUGAAAUUGAGGAUAGGAAAGUACGAGGUGGAGGUGGUGGGCCAGAAUCAAACCCAAAAUAGACGUUGUCAGGCCUCUGAGCCCAAGCUAAGCCAUCAUAUCCCCUAUGACCUGCACGUAUACAUCCAGAUGGCCUGAGGCAACUGAAGAGCCACAAAAGAAGUGAAAAUAGCCUUAACUGAUGACAUUCCACCAUUGUGAUUUGUUCCUGCCCCACCCUAACUGACAGGAUAUAUUCUCCCCCUUGCCCUUAAGUAGGUGCUUUGUAAUAUUCUCCCCCGCCCUUAAGAAUGUACUUUGUACACCUAUCCCAAACCUAUAAGAACUAAUGAUAAUUCCACCACCCUCUGCUGACUCCUUUUUCGGACUCAACCCGCCUGCACCCAGGUCACCACUUCCAGCCUGGCGACUUGGUGCUAAUUAAGACUUGGAAGGAAGACAAUCUCCACCCAAGCUGGGAAGGUUCCUAUCAAGUGCUCGUGAUCACUGAGACAGCCGUAGGAACAGCUGAACGGGGUGGACACUCACACUCGGGUCAAGAGACUGGUAAAAGAAACCCCAGAAGGAAGGGAAAAAGAAACUUUGCUCUGGUGGAGGAAACAAACAUGGACACAUUGUGAGAGUUCCAGGAAGUGGCCACUUGGAGGUGGUAUCAAAGUGCUGUGGGAAUCCACUUGGGAUUGCUGGAGGAGAAGCCAGUUGCCAUAUUGUGAGGAUGCUCAAGCAACCUUAUGAAGAGGUCUACAUGGUGAAGAACUAAGGCCUACUAUCAAAAACAAACACUAAUUUGCCAGACAUAUAAUCAGCUUCUGAUAACUGUAGAGAAAAGUAUGGGCAGAAAGGAGAAAGUAAGCCAAGAGGGGAGCUGGAAGUCAGGACCUACUGCCUUGGAAAGCCAUCGUGCUGUGAGGACUCUUCAUCAUUCCUCAAGUCUCCCUCUGAUGCCGAGCAGAAGCUGGACUGUACUGCCGCUAUCUCGGCUCACUGCAACCUCCCUGCCUGAUUCUCCUGCCUCAGCCUGCCGAGUGCCUGGGAUUGCAGGCGCGCGCCGCCACGCCUGACUGGUUUUCAUAUUUUUUUUGGUGGAGACGGGGUUUCGCUGUGUUGGCCGGGCUGGUCUCCAGCUCCUAACCGUGAGUUAUCUGCCAGCCUCGGCCUCCCGAGGUACCGGGAAUGCAGACGGAGUCUCAUUCACUCAGUGCUCAAUGUUGCCCAGGCUGGAGUGCAGUGGCGUGAUCUCGGCUGGCUACAACCUCCACCUCCCAGCCGCCUGCCUUGGCCUCCCAAAGUGCCGAGAUUGCAGCCUCUGCCUGGCCGCCAUCCCGUCUAGGAAGUGAGGAGCGUCUCUGCCCGGCCGCCCAUCGUCUGAGAUGUGGGGAGCGCCUCUGCCCCGCCGCCCCGUCUGGGAGAUGAGGAGCGUCUCUGCCCGGCCGCCCCGUCUGAGAAGUGAGGAGCCCCUCCGCCCAGCAGCCGCCCCGUCUGAGAAGUGAGGAGCCCCUCCGCCCGGCAGCUGCCCUGUCUG
ensembl:lncRNA novel transcript